rnacentral:siRNA from 1 species
AACCUAAGUACUGCCUACCACCA